rnacentral:rRNA from 1 species
GGGGAAUUUUUCGCAAUGGGCGCAAGCCUGACGAAGCAACGCCGCGUAGAGGAUGAAGGCCCUCGCGGUCGUAAACUCUUGUCUAGCGGGACAAAACUUUUACAGAUGAAUAAUCUGUGAGAUUGACUGUACCGCUGGAGGAAGCUCCGGCCAACUACGUGCCAGCAGCCGCGGUAAUACGGGGGGGGCGAGCGUUGUUCGGAAUUACUGGGCGUAAAGGGCUCGUAGGUGGCCAACUAAGUCAGCUGUGAAAUCCCUCGGCUCAACCGAGGAAUUGCGGCUGAUACUGGAUGGCUUGAAUCCGGGAGAGGGAUGUGGAAUUCCAGGUGUAGCGGUGAAAUGCGUAGAUAUCUGGAGGAACACCGGUGGCGAAGGCGGCAUCCUGGACCGGUAUUGACACUGAGGAGCGAAAGCCAGGGGAGCAA